UGUCCCUGGAUAGAGUUGCACCUGAUUUGGUGGUGUUUGUUUCAUGUCAGCCGGGGACAGAGUAACUCCUUGUUUAUCCUAGCUUGGCGUUUGGUCUGUGCCCAUGCCUGGUUCGUGCCUUGGACACUUGA